rnacentral:lncRNA from 1 species
UUAGAAUCAACAACAGCAACAGACGAAGGCUCUGCAAAAAUGUGGCAACAACUGGGUGUGAGAACUACUGUAGAACAGAGUAGUCCUCAGUAGGUACCGUCACUGUAAGGUACCGGACUUCUAAAAUUAUGAAGUUACGAUGUACAUUUAGUUGGAAAGCCAUUUGAAUGGUUUCGUGAAGUUCCGGUGAAGUUUGGAAGCAUUCGGGCGUUUCGGUGCGCGUAGGCGCGAAAACGAAACCCGAAAGGCUAUGUUGGACCGUAGACUAAAUCUGGCAUUAGCGUGGAUGAAAAGAUGAUGAAAACGUGCUCGAAAACAUGUUUGGAGAGUCUCGGUUUGAUUUGAAAUGAAUCGGAGGUCAAAUGAGUGAAAACGGAGUAAAAAUGGACGAAGGCUGAAAAUGCUGAAAAAUUGACUAAGUCUGGAACUUUGGUCCUUCGGGGACCGGUCUCU